AACGUAGGAGACAAACGUUAUCCGGAGUUACUGGGCGUAAAGGGCGCGUAGGCGGGAUGGCAAGUCGGUCGUGAAAUCCCUCGGCUCAACUGAGGAUCGUCGAUCGAUACUGCCGUUCUUGAGGAUUGCAGAGGAGACUGGAAUUCCCGGUGUAGCGGUGAAAUGUGUAGAGAUCGGGAGGAACACCGGUGGCGAAGGCGGGUCUCUGGGCAAUUCCUGACGCUGAGGCGCGAAAGCGUGGGGAGCAAACGGG
rnacentral:rRNA from 1 species